rnacentral:rRNA from 1 species
CAGCCGCCACGGUAAUACGAAGGGUGCAAGCGUUAAUCGGAAUUACUGGGCGUAAAGCGUGCGUAGGCGGUCUGUUAAGUCUGCUGUGAAAUCCCCGGGCUCAACCUGGGAAUGGCAGUGGAUACUGGCAAGCUAGAGUGUGUCAGAGGAUGGUGGAAUUCCCGGUGUAGCGGUGAAAUGCGUAGAGAUCGGGAGGAACAUCAGUGGCGAAGGCGGCCAUCUGGGACAACACUGACGCUGAGGCACGAAAGCGUGGGGAGCAAACAGGAUUAGAUACCCCUGUAGUCCCUGUCUCUUAUAC